rnacentral:rRNA from 1 species
GACGAACGCUGGCGGCACGCUUAACACAUGCAAGUCGAACGAAGAUAUUUCACCGUAGCUUGCUACACCGAGAUAUCUUAGUGGCGGACGGGUGAGUAACACGUGAGCAAUCUGCCUUUCAGAGGGGGAUACCUGUUGGAAACGACAGUUAAUACCGCAUAACAUAGUUUUAUCGCAUGAUGAGAUUAUCAAAGAUUUAUCGCUGAAAGAUGAGCUCGCGUCUGAUUAGAUAGUUGGUGAGGUAACGGCUCACCAAGUCAACGAUCAGUAGCCGGACUGAGAGGUUGGACGGCCACAUUGGGACUGAGACACGGCCCAGACUCCUACGGGAGGCAGCAGUGGGGAAUAUUGCACAAUGGGCGAAAGCCUGAUGCAGCGAUGCCGCGUGAGGGAAGAAGGUUUUAGGAUUGUAAACCUCUGUUUUCAGGGACGAUAAUGACGGUACCUGAGGAGGAAGCUCCGGCUAACUACGUGCCAG